CCAGGGUCUUGAGGGUGGUGGUCUUGCCGGCGCCGUUGGCGCCGAUCAGGGCGACCAUUUCGCCCUGGGCCACGUUCAGGUCGAUGCCCUUGAUC
rnacentral:tRNA from 1 species